rnacentral:rRNA from 1 species
UACGGAGGAUGCGAGCGUUAUCCGGAUUUAUUGGGUUUAAAGGGUGCGUAGGCGGAAUAUCAAGUCAGCGGUAAAAGCCCGGGGCUCAACCCCGGCGAGCCGUUGAAACUGGCUGUCUUGGGAUGUCGAGAGGUAUGCGGAAUGCGCAGUGUAGCGGUGAAAUGCAUAGAUAUCACGCAGAACUCCGAUUGCGAAGGCAGCAUGCCGGCUCCACACUGACGCUGAGGCACGAAAGCGUGGGUAUCGAACAGG